GAUGAACGCUAGCGGCAGGCCUAACACAUGCAAGCAGAGGGAUAAGCCUUCGGGCUGAAACCGGCGCACGGGUGCGUAACGCGUAUACAAUCUGCCUUUCACAUAGGGAUAGCCCGGAGAAAUUUGGAUUAAUACCUAAUGGUAUAUAGGAGUGGCAUCAUUUUUAUAUUAAAGCUUAGGUGGUGAAAGAUGAGUAUGCGUUCUAUUAGCUAGUUGGAGAGGUAACGGCUCCCCAAGGCGACGAUAGAUAGGGGUUCUGAGAGGGAUGUCCCCAACACUGGUACUGGGAUACGGACCUUACUCCUACGA
rnacentral:rRNA from 1 species